rnacentral:misc_RNA from 1 species
GAAUUUUAGGUUUAAGAAAGCCGAUUAUAUAUAUAUAUGCUUUUUAUAGAAGUUACAAUUAGAGCGCCAUUUCCAAACUGAAGUGUCAUUGUGAACUGAUUCUGAUGGAUUAAAAAUUAAAAAAUUUAUUGCAUCUCAGUUCAGGAUCAUUCUCAAGGUCUUUAUAGUUUGGUUUUGCCAAUAAAAUAUUUACGUAUGUAAGCGUAAGUGUGUGUAUAGGCAUAUAUAUGAACCUCCUAAAGCUAUUUUUCCUUUUAUUUUCUUAAGCCAGGGACAAUGCUGUAUUCCU